CUUCACAUCUAGUUACUGUAAAGACCAAUCAAGAUUAACAGCAAUUGAUAAAAGAACUCUGACGGAAUUUAAUUUGGCCACUGGAGCAAAUGUUUCAAGAUAAUCUAUCCCGUAUGUUUGAGUGUACCCUUUUGCUACCAACCGGGCUUUGUAUCUAUUUAAACAUCCAUCUGGUUUGAAUUUGGUUGUGAACACCCAUUUACAGCCCACUGUUUUUUUCCCUACAGGUAAUUUCAUUGUUUCCCAUGUACCUGUUUUCUCAAGAGCACGCAUCUCCUCUAAAAUAGCCUCCUUCCACUCAGGAACCUGUAAAGCAUCUUUCACAUUUUUUGGUAUUUGGACAGUAUCGAGACACGAAACAAAGGUUGAGAAUGUCGAAGAUAAGGCUUUAUAGGAUACAAAGAUCUUGCGGGUCGGAUUCUUGGUGAUGAAUCUGGUGGAUUCCACUUUCUUGAUUUCGAUUUCUUCUUGAGUAAACAAUUAACUCCUUUGUUUGUUCUUUAUUUUCAUGAUCAGACUCUACACCUUCAUCCUCCUUUUCAUUAACAUUAACAUCAUUAAUUUUUGUGUUAAUUAUAAA